rnacentral:rRNA from 1 species
CAGCAGCCGCGGGAAUACAGAGGGUGCGAGCGUUAAUCGGAUUUACUGGGCGUAAAGCGUGCGUAGGCGGCUUCUUAAGUCGGAUGUGAAAUCCCUGAGCUUAACUUAGGAAUUGCAUUCGAUACUGGGAAGCUAGAGUAUGGGAGAGGAUGGUAGAAUUCCAGGUGUAGCGGUGAAAUGCGUAGAGAUCUGAAGGAAUACCGAUGGCGAAGGCAGCCAUCUGGCCUAAUACUGACGCUGAGGUACGAAAGCAUGGGGAGCAAACAGGAUUAGAUACCCCGGUAGUCCCUGUCUCUUAUAC